rnacentral:misc_RNA from 1 species
AUUUAAAGAUUCUGUCGAUGGAUUUGAAAUAUAAAAGAUACUUCCAACCUUUUACCUCUGUUCUUAAACUGCAUUCACUAGCAGAUGCCUCAAUACAGUUCCAAGAACACAAAAAACUUCUUUUAAAGUCCUGUGCAAAUUCUCAUGCACAGUUUCAUCAUCAUCACCCGUUGUGAAAAAAUCCAGAAUUCUUUGUUCAUCUACCGUUCAAGUUGAAUAAAGAUAUAAAUCCCACCAAGGCAUCACAUUCGGGAAUGAAUCCAGCAGAUCUGGCUUUGGCUCAAGAGGAAUGUAAACAGUUACUUCAACAAGGCCUUAUAGAACCCACAUCCUCUCCAUGGGCUUAUCAAGCCUUUUAUAUGGAAAAACAUUCUGAGAAACUAAGGGGCAAAAAGAGGCUCGUAAUAGACUAUAAGCCUCUUAACCAUUUCUUAUAAUAUGACAAAUUUCCACUGCCUAAGCCUGAAGCCUUGUUUACCCAGCUUCAUGAAGCUCACAUCUUUUCAAAGUUUGAUCUCAAGGCUAGUUUCUGGCAAACUGGGUAUUGAACCCACGGAUAGGCCCAAAAUUGCAUUCUGCAUUCCCACAGCCCAAUACCAAUGGACUGUUCUCCCUUUUGGCCUAAAGACAGCACCCUCUGUUUUCCAAAAAGCCAUGACAAAAAUAUUUGAGCCCAUACUUCACAGUGCCUUCAUCUAUAUUGAU